AACGAACGCUGGCGGCAGGCCUAACACAUGCAAGUCGAGCGAGGACUUCGGUUCUAGCGGCGGACGGGUGAGUAACGCGUGGGAAUGUGCCCUUCUCUACGGAAUAGCCCUGGGAAACUGGGAGUAAUACCGUAUACGCCCUAUUGGGGAAAGAUUUAUCGGAGAAGGAUCAGCCCGCGUUGGAUUAGGUAGUUGGUGGGGUAAUGGCCUACCAAGCCGACGAUCCAUAGCUGGGUUGAGAGGAUGAUCAGCCACACUGGGACUGAGACACGGCCCAGACUGCUACGGGAGGCAGCAGUGGGGAAUCUUAGACAAUGGGGGCAAACCUGAUCUAGCCAUGCCGCGUGAGUGAUGAAGGCCUUAGGGUUGUAAAGCUCUUUCAGCUGGGAAGAUAAUGACGGUACCAGCAGAAGAAGCCCCGGCUAACUCCGUG
rnacentral:rRNA from 1 species